rnacentral:lncRNA from 1 species
GGCUUGUCACCAGCUGUCUUCUCUGGGUGUCUCGUCACAUGGUUCUCCUUCUGUGUCUCUGGGUCCAAAUUUCCCCUUUGGGUAAAGACAUCAGUCAUAUUGGAUUAGCGGCCCAUUUUGUUCUAGAAUGAUCUCAUCUCAACUUGAUUCCGUCUUUUUUUUUUUAAUUUUAUGGCUGCACCUUUAACCAACUGUGUCUGGCCAGGGAUCGAGCCCACAAACUGAGCUGCUGCAGUCAGAUUCUUAACCCACUGUGCCAUAGUGGGAACUCCUCAGCUUGAUUCCAUCUUUAAAAAGCUUAUUUCCAAAUAUGAUCACAUGCUGAGGGCCUGGAGUCCAGGACCUCAACAUAUGAAUUUUAGGAGGACAAAAUUCAACUUAUAACAAUGUCCAAGUCACUUUUUAAAAAGAUUGAGGCAAUGGACAUUCUCAUUAACAGUCUAUUAGGGUAUUACCACAUUGUAAGCCCCAAGCAUUGAGUAUUAUUCUUUAAAAAAAUGUUUGCUUAUUUAUGAAUUUUUAAAAACUGCUAAUUUACUCUUUUUUUUUUCUGGCUGCACCCGAGGCAUUUGGAAGUUCCUGGGCCAGGAAUCAAAUCUGAGCUGCAGCUGUGACCUGUCCGAGCCAUAGCUGUGACCUGUGCUGUAGUUGCAGCAACACUGGAUCCUUUACUGCACUGCAACUGGCUGGGUGUCAAACUCACGCCUCAGCAGUGACCUGAGCUGCCACAGAGACAAUGCUAGAUCCUUAACCCGUGGUGUCACAGCAGUAACUCCAAAAAAAUGUUAAUUUACUCCUAAGUAAACUGGCCACUUGCACACUGGCUGAGUCCUUUCACAAAACUUCAGAGUAUGUCCCCUCUCAUACUGCCUAGACUUGAGAAAAGAUGCCAGGAAGAAGAACCUGAGAGGAGCUUAGUAAACAGAUGAGCCGGUCCCAGCAGGAUGCCCGCUUCCUUGUUCACCUUGAGCCUCAGAAUUCAGAGUAUCUGCAGACAACUUCACAUCCUGAAGAGACCACUUUGAGUCGGCCACCUCCUCCUCUAAGCUGUCGUUUUCUCUCCAUCAUCAUCCAUUCACAGUGGAGGCUACAGACCAGCAGCUUGAGCUUCACUUUGGUGCUUACGAGCAAUUCAGAACCUCAGGUCUCACCCUAGGCCUCACGGGUCAGGUGAUCUGUGUGCUUGUCAGGGCUGAGCCGCUCUGCCUUAGAGAACAGAGAGAGGGAGGUCUCGUCGUGGCGCGGUGGAAAUGAAUCUGACUAUAGCACCCACGAGAACACAGCUUCGAUCCCUG